rnacentral:rRNA from 1 species
GACGAACGCUGGCGGCGUGCCUAAUACAUGCCAGUUGAGCGCUGAAGGUUGGUACUUGUACCAACUGGAUGAGCAGCGAACGGGUGAGUAACGCGUGGGGAAUCUGCCUUUGAGCGGGGGACAACAUUUGGAAACGAAUGCUAAUACCGCAUAAAAACUUUAAACACAAGUUUUAAGUUUGAAAGAUGCAAUUGCAUCACUCAAAGAUGAUCCCGCGUUGUAUUAGCUAGUUGGUGAGGUAAAGGCUCACCAAGGCGAUGAUACAUAGCCGACCUGAGAGGGUGAUCGGCCACAGUGGGACUGAGACACGGCCCAAACUCCUACGGGAGGCAGCAGUAGGGAAUCUUCGGCAAUGGACGAAAGUCUGACCGAGCAACGCCGCGUGAGUGAAGAAGGUUUUCGGAUCGUAAAACUCGGUUGGUAGAGAAGAACGUUGGUGAGAGUGGAAAGCUCAUCAAGUGACGGUAACUACCCAGAAAGGGACGGCUAACUACGUG